rnacentral:misc_RNA from 1 species
ACCGGAGCUGCGAGUACACUCCUCUGGAGCGGAAAGCACUCGGAAGUCGCCCGCCUCGUACAUCCUCGAUCUCGAUCUCGAUUUUCUUCUGCAGUCAGAGCGCAGCCACGCACCAGCGGCCGCGACUCGUGCUGUUUGACAAGCGAAGUGACAGUGAUUGGGGAAUGUGAAUCACACCGUGAUUCGCGAGCGCACCGGGAGCUCGUCGAGAGACGACCUCGCGGUUGCAAUCGAAUUUGAAUCACUCGUGGAAUUCAGUGACGAGCCUUAGAGCUCUUCACUGCGCGUGCUCUGCUUCAUCACGAAUUGUGGUCAAGCGAGCGAAGGCCAGUGGGGGAUGCCUGGGCACACGGAGGCGAGGAAGGGCGCGGUAAGCUGCGAUAAGCCAGGGGGAGCGGCACACACGCAUUGAGCCCUGGAUGC